CUUCGGUGUCCUCGCCACAACGCACUCACCCUUCCUUGGGUGCCCUAAGAAUAAUAUUGGAGGCACACCCCAUCUCCGGCAGACCGGAGUCUAUUCCUGGUGGAUUAGGAUCUGCUCAUCUCCCCGCCCAAACAACACUGAAGGCCGAACUCAGACCGUCGCCUAGAUGAGAAGUGGUCAUAGCGAUAAUGGAAGGGAAAUUUUUUGACGCUUAAAAUUACACGGAUGUGAAUUACACGGCACCAAAUUGGAGGCGUUUGCCAACCGGGUCACCUAAUACUGAGGAGCUCCAAGGGAAAAGAAGGGACGUGCUAAAAGGUUGGACGCGCGGCUGGGGUGCGGAAUUAAUGCCUCUAAUUCCAGAUUAGAUUUCACAUUCAACGUUGCUCAUUGUCGAAGCUGCGACCAGAAGAAGAGACCGCUUGCGGCGAAACCCGAGUCUGCACGGAGCCAAAUGGUCCGGAGGAUUCACACAGCGUCUGCGUUAGAGGGCCUGGAGGCAGUGCGUCAGUGGUCCCAGAGAUGACCAGGUGGUCAGCGCGGGUGUUCGUUCCCGGAACGGACUCACCGAGGGAAUCUCCGUAUGUGGCUGACGCGGAAGGCUGUUGAUGCUGCUGAUCUCUGAUGCUGCUGCGCGGAUCACUGCUGCUAAUG